AGCAGCAUUUCUAUGGUCUACUUCAAGGGUUACCACCCAGCCAUUUCCAGCCAGGUUGGAGAGCUUUGCCAUCACCUGGUUGCCUGUGAGACAGGUGAAUUUGCCAGUGUGAGGAGGGGCAGCUGUGGCACACCCUACCUGCCAGCAGCAGUGAUGGCAGCCUGGCUGUCCCACCCACAUGUCCCUGCUUCACUGCUCUGACCCACCAGGUGUCUUCCAUCAGCCUGGACAUCCACCUUCAGCCACAGGCAAGCCUGACAGCAGCAGUCCCUGCAAUUGUGCCUCUUGUUCAAAGCCACUGAGCCUGAAGAAGCACAAACAGCCCAUUCCCAGGGUAAAGCACUUCAGAGCCAGUGGUGUUGAACUGGCCACCAUCUCCUGCACCAAAAGCUGCUGGCCUAGACAGACCUGGGAAUCUGCUCUUGGGCUCCUGCCAGCUGGAGGGAGACCUGUUGGAUUUGCAAUGACACAAAAGCCCAUGUGGAAUCCCUUACUUCUGCUGCUGCCCACAGCCAUCAGAAAGAAGAUGGCUUCUGUACAGCCCUUUCUAGCCAAGCAAUUGUGGCAGUAUUGGUUUUUAAUAACCAUGUAGCAAAAUCACUUUCCCUGGUAUGUAUUGCCUACAGAUAGUCUCCACAACACUUGUUGGCACAAAACAUGAAGAAAAGAUUCGCAUUCACUCAGCUAUGUAAAGCUAAUAUAAAACAUUUCUAACUCGU